CUGUCGGCGAGCGGCGGACGGCUGAGUAACGCGUGGGAAUCUACCCUAAAGUGAGGGAUAACCGCCCGAAAGGGUGGCUAAUACCGCAUAUGAUCUUCGGAUUAAAGGAUUUAUCCGCUUUAGGAAGAGCCCGCGUUAGAUUAGGUAGUUGGUAGGGUAAUGGCCUACCAAGCCAACGAUCUAUAGCUGGUCUGAGAGGAUGAUCAGCCAGACUGGAACUGAGACACGGUCCAGACUCCUACGGGAGGCAGCAGUGAGGAAUCUUCCACAAUGGGCGAAAGCCUGAUGGAGCAACGCCGCGUGAAGGAUGAAGGCCUUCGGGUUGUAAACUUCUUUUAUGAGUGAAGAAUAUGACGGUAACUCAUGAAUAAGCACCGGCUAACUACGUGCCAGCAGCCGCGGUCAUACGUAGGGUGCAAGCAUUAUCCGGAGUGACUGGGCGUAAAGAGUUGCGUAGGCGGUUUAGUAAGUGAAUAGUGAAACCUGGUGGCUCAACCAUACAGACUAUUAUUCAAACUGUUAAACUCGAGAGUGGUAGAGGUAACUGGAAUUUCUAGUGUAGGAGUGAAAUCCGUAGAUAUUAGAAGGAACACCAAUGGCGUAGGCAGGUUACUGGACCAUUUCUGACGCUAAGGCACGAAAGCGUGGGGAGCGAACUGGAUUAGAUACCCAGGUAGUCCACGCCGUAAACGAUGGAUACUAGCUGUUGGAGGUAUCGACCCCUUCAGUAGCGAAGCUNACGCGUUAAGUAUNCCGCCUGUGGAGUAC
rnacentral:rRNA from 1 species